rnacentral:rRNA from 1 species
UACGUAGGGGGCAAGCGUUGUCCGGAAUCAUUGGGCGUAAAGAGCGUGUAGGCGGUCCGGUAAGUCCGCUGUGAAAGUCGGGGGCUCAACCCUCGAAUGCCGGUGGAUACUGUCGGGCUAGAGUGCGGAAGAGGCGAGUGGAAUUCCUGGUGUAGCGGUGAAAAUGCGCAGAUAUCAGGAGGAACACCUAUUGCGAAGGCAGCUCGCUGGGACGUUACUGACGCUGAGACGCGAAAGCGUGGGGAGCAAAACAGG